rnacentral:rRNA from 1 species
AUGCUUCUGCGAGAAGGACGAUCUGCUGCUCGCAAUCGACCGCGAGGCGGUAUUCAGUACGCAGACGACCCUUGUGGCGCCAACUACCCACUGAUGCAGAAGAUGCAAGCUGUUCUCGUGGACCACGCCCUGGCCAAUGGUGAUGCCGAGCAUGAUGUGGAGACGUUGGUUUUUGCCAAACUUUCCAUGUUUGAGCAGGAGCUCUGUGUUUUGCUGCCGAAGGAGGUCGAGGCCGCCUUGAGUGCUGUGGAGAAUGGCACCGCUGCGCAGCAGAACCGCAUCACCGAGUGCCGGUCGUACCCGCUCUACCGGUUCGUCCGCAAUGAGCUUGGGAUUGAGUACUUGACGGGGGAGAAGACGCGAUCUCCUGGCGAAGAGGUGGACAAGGUGUUCAUCGCCAUGAACUAG